AGGGAAGAAACGGAGUUCUCUAAUAUAGGAUUCUAAUGACGGUACCUGAAGAAUAAGCACCGGCUAACUACGUGCCAGCAGCCGCGGUAAUACGUAGGGUCCAAGCGUUAAUCGGAAUUACUGGGCGUAAAGCGUGCGCAGGCGGUUGUGCAAGACCGAUGUGAAAUCCCCGAGCUUAACUUGGGAAUUGCAUUGGUGACUGCACGGCUAGAGUGUGUCAGAGGGGGGUAGAAUUCCACGUGUAGCAGUGAAAUGCGUAGAGAUGUGGAGGAAUACCGAUGGCGAAGGCAGCCCCCUGGGAUAACACUGACGCUCAUGCACGAAAGCGUGGGGAGCAAACAGGAUUAGAUACCCUGGUAGUCCACGCCCUAAACGAUGUCAACUAGUUGUUGGGGAUUCAUUUCCUUAGUAACGUAGCUAACGCGUGAAGUUGACCGCCUGGGGAGUACGGUCGCAAGAUUAA
rnacentral:rRNA from 1 species